GAUGAACGCUGGCGGCGUGCCUAAUACAUGCAAGUCGAGCGAACAGAUGAGGAGCUUGCUCCUCUGACGUUAGCGGCGGACGGGUGAGUAACACGUGGAUAACCUACCUAUAAGACUGGGAUAACUUCGGGAAACCGGAGCUAAUACCGGAUAAUAUAUUGAACCGCAUGGUUCAAUAGAGAAAGACGGUUUUGCUGUCACUUAUAGAUGGAUCCGCGCCGCAUUAGCUAGUUGGUAAGGUAACGGCUUACCAAGGCAACGAUGCGUAGCCGACCUGAGAGGGUGAUCGGCCACACUGGAACUGAGACACGGUCCAGACUCCUACGGGAGGCAGCAGUAGGGAAUCUUCCGCAAUGGGCGAAAGCUUGACGGAGCAACGCCGCGUGAGUGAUGAAGGUCUUCGGAUCGUAAAACUCUGUUAUUAGGGAAGAACAAAUGUGUAAGUAACUAUGCACGUCUUGACGGUACCUAAUCAGAAAGCCACGGCUAACUACGUG
rnacentral:rRNA from 1 species